GUCUACAGCCAUACCACCCUGAAUGCGUCCGAUCUCGUCUGACCUUGGAAGCUAAGCAGGGUCGGGCCUGGUUAGUACUUGGAUGGGAGACAAAUACAUGGAAGGCCAUGGUCCACCACAGCCU
rnacentral:rRNA from 1 species